AGCGGAUCACAGGACAGCUGGUGGACCAGAGCAGCUGGCAGAGUGGAGCAGCCCACAGAGCCUGAUUUGCAGAGUCGAGGGAAUCUUGGAUCACACACUGAAGUACUUUGGGAACCGUGAGUGCUCAGCACCAACACAAAAUGAUAUUCUACACAAGACUCCUGGGAGCUGGGAGGACAGAAGCGACUUUGUCUGUACAAAGUGCAAGCUGGUCUCCAUAUUGGAAGAGAAGGUUUGAGGUCUGGAGCAACAAGUAUCGACCCUGCAUUGCAUAAGAGAAAGUGAAGAUUUCCUGGACAGAUGUCAGGAUAUGCUUCUACGGGGCACAACGUUCUGAAGAAUUGGAGCAGGCUGUGCAGAGGGGAGAGAGGGACGGUGAAGAAAUUUGGCAGCAUGUGACCUCCAGAAGAAAGAGGAGCGUCCAUGUACCAGCAACUGAGAUACAGGUGAGCAACUGUUUUCAUGUUCUCUUCACAGGUACUAAUGCAGAGUGGACUAGAUACAUCUGAAGGAAGGGAGCAGAAGGAGACUCCACCGAUUGGAAGGUAUGUGAUGCACUGUUCUAGGGAUGGUGGUUCCACGACCACCACUCCCAAGAGAAGUGGUGG